rnacentral:lncRNA from 1 species
GAUUUCUACUUGAUUGGCUACAAAUCAGGUGGAGUCAUGGCUCCUGAGACAAGUAACCUACUGAAAUCCAUGAGAGGCACCGGAGCGAGUUCAUUGUAAUGAAGGUGAGCCCCAUCCACCUGCAGGACUGUGCUCCACCACCUCUCGCUCACAUGGUCCCGCACAGCUCACCCCACCACCAUCAGCCCAACUGCUCGUAAUCCGGCUGCUGGAACGAAGUGGCAGAUGGAAGAGGUUCUAAGAAGCCCCUGUUCAGACAUGAUACAAAGAAACUCCCGGAGGCCCCAAAGUGAGUGCUUGGGCUGGCCAUUGGACACUUUCACGGGAAGAAACUGA